GACGAACGCUGGCGGCGUGCUUAACACAUGCAAGUCGAACGGAAAGGCCCUGCUUUUGUGGGGUGCUCGAGUGGCGAACGGGUGAGUAACACGUGAGUAACCUGCCCUUGACUUUGGGAUAACUUCAGGAAACUGGGGCUAAUACCGGAUAGGAGCUCCUGCUGCAUGGUGGGGGUUGGAAAGUUUCGGCGGUUGGGGAUGGACUCGCGGCUUAUCAGCUUGUUGGUGGGGUAGUGGCUUACCAAGGCUUUGACGGGUAGCCGUCCUGAGAGGGUGACCGGCCACAUUGGGACUGAGAUACGGCCCAGACUCCUACGGGAGGCAGCAGUGGGGAAUAUUGCACAAUGGGCGGAAGCCUGAUGCAGCAACGCCGCGUGCGGGAUGACGGCCUUCGGGUUGUAAACCGCUUUCGCCUGUGACGAAGCGUGAGUGACGGUAAUGGGUAAAGAAGCACCGGCUAACUACGU
rnacentral:rRNA from 1 species